UACGUAGGUGGCGAGCGUUGUCCGGAUUUACUGGGCGUAAAGGGCGUGCAGGCGGUUUGUUAAGUGCAGGGUGAAAGCUCCCGGCUCAACUGGGAGAGGUCCUUGCAUACUGGCGAACUCGAGGGAGGCAGAGGAAAGUGGAAUUCCCAGUGUAGCGGUGAAAUGCGUAGAUAUUGGGAGGAACACCAGUGGCGAAGGCGGCUCACUGGACCGGAACUGACGCUGAGGCGCGAAAGCGUGGGGAGCGAACAGG
rnacentral:rRNA from 1 species